GAUGAACGCUGGCGGCGUGCCUAAUACAUGCAAGUCGAGCGAACGGACGAGAAGCUUGCUUCUCUGAUGUUAGCGGCGGACGGGUGAGUAACACGUGGAUAACCUACCUAUAAGACUGGGAUAACUUCGGGAAACCGGAGCUAAUACCGGAUAAUAUUUUGAACCGCAUGGUUCAAAAGUGAAAGACGGUCUUGCUGUCACUUAUAGAUGGAUCCGCGCUGCAUUAGCUAGUUGGUAAGGUAACGGCUUACCAAGGCAACGAUGCAUAGCCGACCUGAGAGGGUGAUCGGCCACACUGUAACUGAGACGCGGUCCAGACUCCUACGGGAGGCAGCAGUAGGGAAUCUUCCGCGAUGGGCGAAAGCCUGACGGAGCAACGCCGCGUGAGUGAUGAAGGUCUUCGGAUCGUAAAACUCUGUUAUUAGGGAAGAACAUAUGUGUAAGUAACUGUGCACAUCUUGACGGUACCUAAUCAGAAAGCCACGGCUAACUACGU
rnacentral:rRNA from 1 species